UACGUAGGGUGCAAGCGUUGUCCGGAAUUAUUGGGCGUAAAGAGCUCGUAGGCGGUUUGUCGCGUCUGCUGUGAAAACGCGAGGCUCAACCUCGCGCCUGCAGUGGGUACGGGCAGACUAGAGUGCGGUAGGGGAGAUUGGAAUUCCUGGUGUAGCGGUGGAAUGCGCAGAUAUCAGGAGGAACACCGGUGGCGAAGGCGGGUCUCUGGGCCAAAACUGACGCUGAGGAGCGAAAGCGUGGGGAGCGAACAGG
rnacentral:rRNA from 1 species